rnacentral:lncRNA from 1 species
CACUCCAUAAUUUUUUUCAAUCCACCGUUUGUCUAUAUUUCAAAUCAACAUCAAAGCCCUUUCGGAUAAAAAAUAUAAAUCUAAAUUUUUGAAUGAAUAUUACGAGACUCACUCCAUGUAUCGGCAUGCUGUCGGAUCAAAUCCAUCGCUGAGCUGAUGAAUCGGUUCGAUCACAAAUCAAUACACAAAUAUAUCUAUAUUAAUUUUUUAUUUUAUCUAAUUUUGUGCAAAUUAAUUCAUGAUUGGAUUAAUUUAAUUAUUGAGAUUAUGGGUAUGUUACAACCAAUAAUUUUUCAUAGGGUCGCUGCCCAUUGUCCACCCCUCUAGCCUUGCACUCAAGAUUUGGUAGUCCCAAUCAGAUUCAAGUACCAACUCCCAACACGUGUGAAUGGCUCCGCAAGUAAGUUUCACCUUUCAACAAAGUACCAAACUAAAGUGCUUCACCAAAAAAAAAAAAAAAAAA